rnacentral:rRNA from 1 species
UACGUAGGUGGCGAGCGUUGUCCGGAUUUACUGGGCGUAAAGAGCGCGCAGGCGGUCGUGCAAGUCGCGUGUGAAAGCCCCCGGCUCAACUGGGGAGGGUCACGCGAUACUGCUCGACUUGAAGGCAGGAGAGGGAAGUGGAAUUCCCCGGUGUAGUGGUGAAAUGCGUAGAUAUCGGGAGGAACACCAGUGGCGAAGGCGACUUCCUGGCCUGUUCUUGACGCUGAGGCGCGAAAGCUAGGGUAGCAAACGGG